GUCCGGGUGGCGCAGUGGUUAACGCAUCCGCCUGGUAAGCAGGAGAUCCCGGUUUCGAGUCCCGGUCCGGCACA